GCGGGCGUAGCUCAAUUGGAUAGAGCAGCUGACUUCGGAUCAGCAGGUUGGGGGUUCGAGCCCCUCCGCCCGUA
rnacentral:tRNA from 1 species